AAUUAUUUCUCAUUCAAUCAUAAACAACAAAAAAAUUAAAUUAAACUAUUUUUAGGGUUUCAAUAGGGGCAAUGCUUAUCGGUUGGGAUUUCUUGCACCGACCGGGGGUGGACAUUGUUCUGGCAUAAUGGACGGAGGCAGAAGCACCAACAGGAGAGCGAAGACUAUGCUUCUUGGGCGUGAUGGAAGAAAUCGACAAUCGACGGAGGAUCAGCAAGAUAGAAGAAGGCAGCCACAGAUGAGGAGAACAACAAUGUGAGGAGGAGCAGAGUAAGGAUGAAAGAGAGCGGACAGACUUGAGGUGGUCAGCGAUCGGCGAUAAGCGGC
rnacentral:lncRNA from 1 species